ACCGCGAUUAGCCAUAUAAGUUCAGUUUUGGUCUCAUAGGAUGGUUGGUUCGGGUUUUGAGACUUUUAUUUUCAGUUUGUGUCGUUAAGCGUUUUAACUUUUAACUUUUGGCUAAAAUUUGAACUAGGUCAAUUUUUUUGGGAAACAUGUUCAAAUUUGAAUUCGUCAGCGCGGUUAGCUCUGGAAGGUAAUUUUUCGUCUUAUAGGAUGGUUGGUUUGGAUUUUGAGGUUUUCAUAUUCAGUUUGUACCGUUAGGCGUUUUAACUUUUAACUUUUGGCCA
rnacentral:lncRNA from 1 species